AAGACCUUGCGCUUUUGGAGCGGCCGAUGCCUGAUUAGCUUGUUGGUAAGGUAAAAGCUUACCAAGGCUUCGAUCAGUAGCUGGUCUGAGAGGACGGCCAGCCACACUGGGACUGAGACACGGCCCAGACUCCUACGGGAGGCAGCAGUGGGGAAUUUUGGACAAUGGGGGCAACCCUGAUCCAGCCAUGCCGCGUGAGUGAAGAAGGCCUUCGGGCUGUAAAGCUCUUUCAGCCGGAACGAAACGGUUACGGUUAAUACCUGUGAUUACUGACGGUACCGGAAGAAGAAGCACCGGCUAACUACGUGCCAGCAGCCGCGGUAAUACGUAGGGUGCGAGCGUUAAUCGGAAUUACUGGGCGUAAAGCGUGCGCAGGUGGUUUUGUAAGUCAGAUGUGAAAGCCCCGGGCUCAACCUGGGAACU
rnacentral:rRNA from 1 species